rnacentral:rRNA from 1 species
UCUGCCUGAAGAGAAGCUCGCGGCUGAUUAGCUAGUUGGUAGGGUAAAGGCCUACCAAGGCGACGAUCAGUAGCUGGUCUGAGAGGACGAUCAGCCACAUUGGAACUGAGACACGGUCCAAACUCCUACGGGAGGCAGCAGAGGGGAAUAUUGCACAAUGGGCGAAAGCCUGAUGCAGCAACGCCGCGUGAGCGAUGAAGGCCUUCGGGUCGUAAAGCUCUGUCCUCAAGGAAGAUAAUGACGGUACUUGAGGAGGAAGCCCCGGCUAACUACGUGCCAGCAGCCGCGGUAAUACGUAGGGGGCUAGCGUUAUCCGGAAUUACUGGGCGUAGAGGGUGCGUAGGUGGUUUCUUAAGUCAGAGGUGAAAGGCUACGGCUCAACCGUAGUAAGCCUUUGAAACUGGGAAACUUGAGUGCAGGAGAGGAGAGUGGAAUUCCUAGUGUAGCGGUGAAAUGCGUAGAUAUUAGGAGGAACACCAGUUGCGAAGGCGGCUCUCUGGACUGUAACUGACACUGAGGCACGAAAGCGUGGGGAGCCUAAGAAGGUUCUAUACCCUGGUAGUCCCCCCCGUAAACGAAGAACACUAGGUGUCGGGGGAAUCGACCCCCUCGGUGUUGUAGCUAACGCGUUAAGUGUUCCGCCUGGGGAGUACGCACGCGAGUGUGAAACUCAAAGGAAUAGACGGGGGCCCGCACAAGCGGUGGAGUAUGUGGUUUAAUCCGAUGCAACGCGAAGAACCUUACCAGGGUUUGACAUCCUGCGAAUCCCUUGGAAACAAGGGAGUGCCUUCGGGAGCGCAGUGACAGGUGGUGCAUGGCUGUCGUCAGCUCGUGUCGUGAGAUGUUGGGUUAAGUCCCGCAACGAGCGCAACCCACGUCUUUAGUUGCCAGCAUUAAGUUGGGCACUCUAGAGAGACUGCCGGUGAUAAACCGGAGGAAGGUGUGGAUGACGUCAAGUCAUCAUGCCCCUUACAUCCUGGGCUACACACGUACUACAAUGCUACGGACAAAGGGCAGCAAACUCGCGAGAGCUAGCAAAUCCCAUAAACCGUGGCUCAGUUCAGAUCGUAGGCUGCAACUCGCCUACGUGAAGGAGGAAUCGCUAGUAAUCGCAGGUCAGCAUACUGCGGUGAAAAAGUUCCCGGGCCUUGCACACACCGCCCGUCA